rnacentral:rRNA from 1 species
GCAACCUACCUAUCAGAGGGGAAUAACCGGCGAAAGUCGGACUAAUACCGCAUAAACAGGGGCACCGCAUGGUGAUAUUUGUUAAAGAGAUUCGCUGAUAGAUGGGCAUGCGUUCCAUUAGGUAGUUGGUGAGGUAACGGCUCACCAAGCCGACGAUGGAUAGGGAACUGAGAGGUUGGUCCCCCACACUGGUACUGAGACACGGACCAGACUCCUACGGGAGGCAGCAGUGAGGAAUAUUGGUCAAUGGGCGGGAGCCUGAACCAGCCAAGUCGCGUGAAGGAAGAAGGAUCUAUGGUUCGUAAACUUCUUUUGCAGGGGAAUAAAGUGCAGGACGUGUCCUGUUUUGUAUGUACCCUGAGAAUAAGGAUCGGCUAACUCCGUGCCAGCAGCCGC